rnacentral:rRNA from 1 species
GACGAACGCUGGCGGCGUGCUUAACACAUGCAAGUCGAACGGAAAGGCCCUGCUUGCAGGGUACUCGAGUGGCGAACGGGUGAGUAACACGUGGGUGAUCUGCCCUGCACUUCGGGAUAAGCCUGGGAAACUGGGUCUAAUACCGGAUAGGAGCCAUUUUUAGUGUGAUGGUUGGAAAGUUUUUUCGGUGUAGGAUGAGCUCGCGGCCUAUCAGCUUGUUGGUGGGGUAAUGGCCUACCAAGGCGGCGACGGGUAGCCGGCCUGAGGGGGUGGACGGCCACAUUGGGACUGAGAUACGGCCCAGACGCCUACGGGAGGCAGCAGUGGGGAAUAUUGCACAAUGGGCGCAAGCCUGAUGCAGCGACGCCGCGGGGGGGAUGACGGCCUUCGGGUUGUAAACUCCUUUCGCUAGGGACGAAGCUUUUUGUGACGGUACCUAGAUAAGAAGCACCGGCUAACUACGUG